UUGUGCGGGAAGUUCAGUCAGUCUCUCUUUCAUCAGCCGUCAUAUAUUGAAUUAUGGUUAUUAAUGAUUAUAAAUUGUUACACCAUCAAAUAACGGAUCUUCAAAAUCGACUGGAUUUCGUAACUAAAGAGAUGGAGCUCUUUUGUCUACCAUGUCAAUAAUAAUUGAUCUAUUCCUUGCUGAACUGAUCGACCUAUUUCCAUUCGAACAUUUGGAUGAUGGAAAUGGAAUAAUGAUUGAUUAUCACUAAUUAAUCCAUCACAAUACUAUCAUUAAUAACUGCAGCUUGUUCCGUCUUUUACUCUUUCUUAAAUGUUUUUCAAAUGAAGUCAUAGUGUGUAUCGGAGAACGGAAAAAAGUGUCAUGAUAAAAUCGUAGUUGUAAAUUUCAUCCCCACUGUUAUUGGGUCCUGUGAAAUAAAUAGAGUUUUAGAAAAUAUCACCUGGCGUUAUACUGAAAAAAAAAAAAAAAAAAAAAAAAAUAGAAUUUGAGUAAUGUUUGAAGUUAGAGAAGCUUAGCGGUCAUGAAUAGAGAAACUGUCAAGUAUCCAGAAUACACUUUUUGUUAAAUGUAUGCCGACGAGGAUUUUGAAAAAUUUCACAUCCCUACUCAUGACGUUUCAUUCGAUUACUGCAUGAUAGAAUGGAAAGAAACACAAAUACUUCAACAGUUCUAGCAAGAACAUAGGCAGGAAUUACUCUGAUGUCGAUCUUCAAUUCUACUUCGAGUCCAACAAGGACUUACACUUUUAACCAGUGAUGCUAAUCGGCCUCAUUUUGGGCUUGUUAAAAAAAGGAAAUCGAAAAUCAAUUUGGUAACCCUCACAAUUUGAAGAAUGAUUUGGAUGAGAACAACUUCAUUAGAUUAGCUACAAUCAGCUGUAACGAGGGGGAUGAGAAGGAACUAAACAAUGGGAUAGGCAACAAUGACUCCGACAUCAAUCUUCAAUUCUACUCUGAGUCCAACAAGGAAUUACAAUUAUAUCUCAACAACAAAUCCUUAGGGUUACUUUCCGUCUUUUAUGAGCACACGCAAAUCUUCAAUCCGGCUUCGUACUAUAUGUAUAUACACGAUAGGAAUUAAAUAAUAAUAAGGAUAACAGCAUAGGAACAGAAAAUUCACUCUUUAGGUUGCCAGCUCUAAAAAAUCGAGAGAGCUAAAAAAAUACAACCGAUGAGGAUCACAACUUAUAACUCCUCAAACAAUCAUCAUUGAUACUCUGUCAUUCAUGGGCAUACACAGUACACUUCAUACUAGGAUGUUAUCUCUUGCAUAAUUAAAUAAUAAUGAUGGUAGCUUCGGAGAAACACUCUGCAGAUUGCCAACUGCAAAAGCUUUCAAUUUUUUUUGUUGGAAGGAUUAAAAGAUGUCAAAUGUUAAUACUCUUGAUCUCAUCCAUCCAUCUAUCAUUAUCAGCUCCUCUUUUCUCAUAACAUUAUUACCUGAGCGCCUAAUGUAUAUACAUAUGUUGCUUUAAAAAACAACUUGGUAAGCCACGGAACUAAAAGGACGCUAUUCUUUUUCAACAUAGAGAAGGAGAAAAAGGAAUCGCAUAUAUUUAUAAGAAUCACUUACAUUCUUUAUCAUAGUAUUUGAGGAUAUUUGUUCUCUGUAGAAGUGAAAAUAUUCCUUUGAUAUUCUAGAAAGCUAAAUAUAGUGAAGUGAUUAUUAUGUUCGUAGUAUAGUUGUUGAAAUUGGAUGCACCAAGUUUGA
rnacentral:lncRNA from 1 species